GAUGAAGAACGUAGCGAAAUGCGAUACUUGGUGUGAAUUGCAGAAUCCCGUGAACCAUCGAGUCUUUGAACGCAAGUUGCGCCCGAAGCCAUUAGGCCGAGGGCACGCCUGCCUGGGCGUCACACGUCGUUGCCCCCCCAUCUACUCCUUCGGGAUUGCGGGGGGCGGAUGAUGGCCUCCCGUGCGCCUCGUCGCGCGGUUGGCCUAAAUGCCAAGUCCUCGGCGACGCACGCCACGACAAUCGGUGGUUGCGAAACCUCGGUUGCCUGUCGUGUGCGGUCGUCGCGCAUCGAGGGCUCGAAAAAAUUGCCGGGCUUCGGCUCGACUUUCAACGCGACCCCAGGUCAGGCGGGGUUACCCGCUGAAUUUAAGCAUAUCAAUAAGCGGUGGA
rnacentral:misc_RNA from 1 species